rnacentral:rRNA from 1 species
UGAGGAAUAUUGGUCAAUGGGCGGAAGCCUGAACCAGCCAAGUCGCGUGAGGGAAGACGGUCCUAUGGAUUGUAAACCUCUUUUGCAGGGGAGCAAGACCUGUACGUGUAACAGGUUGGAGAGUACCCUGAGAAAAACGCAUCGGCUAACUCCGUGCCAGCAGCCGCGGUAAUACGGAGGAUGCGAGCGUUAUCCGGAUUUAUUGGGUUUAAAGGGUGCGUAGGCGGGCUGGUAAGUCAGCGGUAAAAAGUGCGGUGCUCAACGCCGUAGUGCCGUUGAAACUGCCGGUCUUGAGUGAGCGAGAAGUAUGCGGAAUGCGUGGUGUAGCGGUGAAAUGCAUAGAUAUCACGCAGAACUCCGAUUGCGAAGGCAGCAUACCGGCGCUCAACUGACGCUGAGGCACGAAAGCGUGGGGAUCGAACAGGAUUAGAUACC